CCUGGAAGGAGGAGAGAUGACUAGAAAUGAUUGGGUUGAGCGUUUUGUGUGGAUUAAUGUUUAUAUCCCAGGACAAAUUAGCUAGCAACAGCAAGCUAGCUAAAUAGGACAAAUUAGCUAGCAAGUGCAAGCUAACUACCUAAAUUGCCAUACAUGUUUAAUGCUUUUCGACCUGUCUCCAAAUUAAUGUCAUUAGUUAAGAGUUUGUUUUGAUAUUUUAACCUGCAUGUCGUGAUCGCGUUUGGUGUAGGGGACAAAAUAAAUGUAUGCACGAUAGCGCACGCGCGCAGCCGGUGUGGGUUCCGUGUUAAGGGCAGAAGGACACAAUGCAACUAACGUUAUACAGACAGAGUGGGAGGAGAGGGAGGCAUUCCAUCACCAUCAUAACUGUAGUUUUUGUAUCUAAAAAAAACAAGUUCUACUCGUAAUCCUAUCUAAUUCGUUAGCGAGUUUGCUCAAUUUACAUAUAGCAUGUUAUUUAGCUCACUGUUGGACGGUAGCUACUUUGGGCGAGGGAUGCAGACCGAUUCUCCUCGGACGCGGUGGUAGAAGCGUUGCUGAGAGCCAAUUGGCUAUCGAACGGCCAAUGGCGUGAGACGUGGGUCUUGAUAGAUUGGGAGGUCACCGAAAUAAUAUUUCUGUUUGUGCGGUUACAAACGGAUUACGCUUCGAACAUACCGACUGGGUCAUUGCCACAGUGCUGCAUAACAUUUUGCGCAGCUAGGCAACUAUACCGAGGCAGGUAUAUUUUGCCAGACGGUCGAAUGCGGUUGGACACAUGGAGAGAAUCAUUUUUGCAGUAUCCUCAAAACCGGCUUUUUGACACAACUGCUGAAAGCUACAGGGACAUAAACACAAAAAAUGCUGCGUGUCCACGAUAGUAGGAUUGCCAGGAUGUGGCCGUGGAGACAAAUGAGGAGAGAAACAUGGAGAAAUGAAGAGGAACGUCCCCAGAUCCACUCAACUCAUUUCAGCAGAGGCUCCUCAAAGCCAUCGAGAGGAUGCAGCCCAACCUGAUCCUCACAUUAAGGAGGAUGAAGAGACCCUCUUUGCCAUGAGCCUGUUGCCAACCCUGAAGUGGCUGCCUCAGCAAAGAAAAGCACCAAUCAAGGUUAAAAUUCGUUAGCUGCGUUUUGAUGCAGAGUUCAAUGAGAGAGUUAAUUUAGCCGACCAGCACAUUCACUUUUCAUUUUUUCAGACACACACCACUCCUCUCUGUCCCUCAGAUCUCCAGUGCCCUGCCCUUUCUCUCUUUAUGGCCAUGUCUGAAGUUCCUUACUACGUCUAGGCUUUGAGUAGUCCCUGUAUCUGUCUGCAGCUGUGCCAAAAAUACCUGCUCUUUUUGUUCUCUUACAGGCUACACAUUAAUUGUUGUAUUUUUACAUGCGCACACACACACACACACACACACACAACUCUUUCAAUAGUUUUUAUUUUUUGUAACAGUUUUACAACACAUACCUGUCAUGUUCUUUCCUGGACUUCAAUACUUAUUAAAUUCUAAUGUUUUCAUAGUCAGUUUAAUUUGUUUAUUAAUAUCUCAUUUAGACUUAAUCUGCUUAUUUCUUCCCUACACCUUUUGCAGAUCUAACACAAGAUUAAAGUAAAAACACAUUUGCUUCCUAAUUAGUUUUUUCUCCACCUGCAUUUUGUCAGAGCAGUGAAUAUGUUGGUAAACUGUACUAUUUGUAUGGACCCAAGGUUAACUUUUCCCAUUAUCAUACUAACUGUAUGUCGUAUAACCUUAGAGGUCCUGCUCAUCUGAUGUACCAUGCCAGGUGUGUAUAAUACUGAUGUUAAUGGGAGAGGGAAGGGGUUAAGGUGUGGUCUUUACUCCCAAAUUUCACUUAAAUAUAACUUCCAAAUGAAGAGAAACAAUGAGACUUAAAGUAAUCUGGGGGAAAAAUGCAAUUUCAUGGACAGCGGUGGAUGGUUCUUAAAAUAACCUUGGUGUUAGGGGGUUCUUCAAAGAGCUGUUUCACUCCACGGCAUAUUGUCAUGGGACUUCACCUGCUGGUGAUGAAGUAGGUGGUCAGCUUCUCCCUCACCUGGAGUGCCUGUCUGGGGGUGUUGUUGGCACAUGCCCUGGUGACAUCAGGUAGGUGACCAUUUGGCGUGCCCGUCUCCACCCAGAGCGGCUCCUGGAAUGACCUCUGCAGGUAGUUGUGGAGAACACACGUGGUCUUUACGCAGGCAUCAACAUUUGAGGGGCUGAGACCAAGCACUCCCCGAUACAUUCUCCACCAGGCUGCCAGAAUCCCAAAGGUGCAUUCAACAACUAACCUUUACCUGGAUAGUCGUUUGUUAAAGAUCCUUGCAGACUUUGGCAAUGGCAGCUGGCUGUCCAGCUUGAAAUUCCACCCACAUAUUCUACCUACUCAUAUACCUACCUCAUUAGUUUAUGCUCAGCUAAUUAUAUUGUAAGAGUCAUCAACCAUCAUUUAAAAAUGCCUUGGAGCAGUACAAUUCAGUCUAUGGCUGUAUCAAACUGUAGCCCAGACCAACUCUACUCUUAGAAGAAAAGGUGCUAUCUAGAACCUAAAAGGGUUCUCUGGUUGUCCCCAUAGGAGAACCCUUUGAAGAAACUUUUUGGUUCCAUCUAUAACAUUUUCCCCAAAGGGUUCUACCUGGAACCAAAAAGGAUUAUCCUAUGGGGAAAGCAGGACACUUUUGGAACCCUUUUUUCUCAGAGUGUAAGUAAUUCCAAUAAGAAUUGAAUGAAUUACUGUCUUGAACAACAAGGGGUCCUGGAGAAGACUAGCCCACCUUCAACUUUAUUUUCAUUUGGUAACAUUGCAUCAUUAAAUUAUUUUAAACCAACUUUGGGAAAAGUUAUAAUCCUAAUGGACAUUCUGUGAAAGUAAAUCUGUCACAUAUGGGCUAUUAACUGGAGCCCUUUAGCUAGCUAGGUUUCACAUAAAAUAUAUCUAAUAUAAAUCAAUUACGGUAUCAAAGCCAUUAAAAAUGUACUCAAAUGUCGCUUACCGGAGACAAAUCGCCAGGCGUUUAACUGGGCUGAUGGACUCCCAGUAGUUGGUAUCCAUCCGGGCGAUCCUGGCUCCAACCAUCGAAAGUAACUUCGAAAUUCUUCUCCAAACAGUUGAAGAUCUUGAAUUAGACGGUGGAACUCCCCUCCAUGCUUUCGGGACUUCAACCAUCUCUAGACCCACACAGACCUGCGCUUUCGGCAGGGCUGGUCCCUUACACCCGCCCAACAGCGCGACCAAGACCACCUUCAUCACCGUUUGGUGUCAUUGUUGAAAGAGCCUACUCUCUGCUAUCUUGACUAUUAUUGCAUUUCGCUCCAAAACUGCAUUUUGGAGGGAAAUUAUAUUAUAGGCUCGCACAAUUAAUUUUUAGAUGUCAUCGAAUAAAUAUGUAUGCUAGUUGGC
ensembl:lncRNA